CUUGGGUGUGGUGGUGCAUGCCUGUAAUCCCAGCAGCUUGGAAGGCUGAGGCAGGAAGAUUGUGAGUUCCAAGCCAGCCUCAG
rnacentral:sRNA from 1 species